rnacentral:rRNA from 1 species
AGGACUUGACAUCUGAUGCAUAACCUAGAGAUAGGUGAAAUUCUUCGGAACAUCAAGACAGGUGGUGCAUGGUUGUCGUCAGCUCGUGUCGUGAGAUGUUGGGUUAAGUCCCGUAACGAGCGCAACCCUUAUCACUAGUUGCCAGCAUUCAGUUGGGGACUCUAGUGAGACUGCCGGUGACAAACCGGAGGAAGGUGGGGAUGACGUCAAAUCAUCAUGCCCCUUAUGUCCUGGGCUACACACGUGCUACAAUGGAUGAUACAGCGAGAAGCGAAGUCGCGAGGCCAAGCGGAUCUCUUAAAGUCAUUCUCAGUUCGGAUUGUUCUCUGCAACUCGAGAGCAUGAAGCCGGAAUCGCUAGUAAUCGUGGAUCAGCACGCCACGGUGAAUACGUUCCCGGGUC